GUGCUGCUUUGGCCGCACGUGUGCUAAACCUGGGACGAUACAGAGCAGGGUAGCAUGGCCCUUGUGCGAGGAUGGCAUGCACAUUCGUGAUGCGUUCCGUGUUAAA